UUGUAGGUCGUAUACUGCUUUCGAGCAGAAAGUCUGCUUGUAAAACACAGACAGCCAGCUCCAAAUAUACGAAUGGUUGCGUUAAAUCCUGGGAGCUGAAACAAACAGCUUGGAGGCCUCUAGUAAAUUAGAUCUUAGUAUUCGCAGACGAAAAAGUGUUUCGAGAAAGAUGGCUGAUGAAGAUUACAUUUAGAAGAAAACUGACCAUGGAAAUGAAACAGAUAAACAUCAAGGUUUCUUGUGGGCGGUGCUUGGCUUCCUUGCCUCUCCUGACAACAUGCUCCGAUUCAAGUGCUGCUUGACUGAACGGUGCAUCUCAAGUUCACACAAAACUGGGGAAGCAGGUUUAAUCAGUGAUCUGUAAGCCUGAAUACUUUCAGCCUGGACACAGGGUCACAACGCCUACCGUUAACAACCGCAGCACAAAUCUGAGGUCCAACUGGACCCAAUCAUCGUAGGCUUGUCCUCCUGAUGCAGGUCAAGGACCAUGAUGCAAUUUCUCAGCGUGGCCGGAUGAUAGUUUUUCAGUUUGAAAGAUAUCCAGAGCUGCGCUGGUGUGCGACGCAUCAGCAUGACAGGACUCGGCAAAGGUCAGCCUCGUAUAUCUCGGGCCUUCUGUGACAGAUACUUUGAUGAUUAUUUAUAAAACGUGCACAGCGGGAAGAGACCUGUAGAAUAAAAUGAAUUCCCCACCUCGGCGGCAGACACUGGCCAAUGGGAAAGCCAACAGGUUUAGGUCUUGGAGUCUUUUUGAAAGGUCUGGGAUGUCUGGCUUCCCAGCGGCAUCUACAUGAGUCCAGAUUCCAAUUACCCGAAGCUACAUCCCCUCUGACGUUCACAAAAGCCUUUGUUAUCGCUCUGCCCACAAACACAGCCCGUCCGCGCUUAGCCUUGGAAUUGGCAGGAUUGCUGGUCUAGCUUUGGUACCUCUGAGAGGAGAUGGAUGGAUCCAGUGCAUGGGUAACUCCUGGCAAACCUCCCAGAUUUUGGAAUUGAGCAGAAAUGUUCGAUUGGAGAUGGGUUCCUCGGCGGGGAU